rnacentral:rRNA from 1 species
GACGAACGCUGGCGGCGUGCUUAACACAUGCAAGUCGAACGGAAAGGCCCCCACUUUUUUGGUGGGGGUGCUCGAGUGGCGAACGGGUGAGUAACACGUGGGUGAUCUGCCCUGUACUUCGGGAUAAGCUUGGGAAACUGGGUCUAAUACCGGAUAGGAUCAUGGUUUAGUGUCUCAUGGUGGAAAAAUUAUUGUUUUGGUGCAGGAUGAGCUCGCGGCCUAUCAGCUUGUUGGUGGGGUAAUGGCCUACCAAGGCGUCGACGGGUAGCCGGCCUGAGAGGGUGGACGGCUGCGUUGGGACUGAGAUACGGCGCAGACUACUACGGGAGGCAGCAGUGGGGGAUAUUGCACAAUGGGAGCAAGCCUGAUGCAGCGGCGCCGCGUGGGAGAUAACGGCCCUCGGGUUGUAAACUCCUUUCGUUAGGGACGAAGCCGCACCUUUUUUGGGUGUGGUGACGGUACCUUUGUUAAGAAGCACCGGCUAACUACGUG